AUUAUUUUUUUACAAAUACCCACUCAUAGCAUACAUUACUUUAUUUGUUAAGUCAAACUUUUCUUCCUUACUUCACUUCCAUAUGCUUGUAAGAAUAUGUAUAUACAUAUAUAUAUAUGAAUUAUAUAUUUUCAUGUAUGCAUUCAUAUAUAUAUAAUAAAAGAAUGUGAGAUGUAAUGUAAGUGUUAAUAAAGUUAAUAUGUACAUGCCUAGAAGCUAAUUCUUAUAGGGAAUUGUGACCUAUCUAUCAUU
rnacentral:miRNA from 14 species